rnacentral:lncRNA from 1 species
ACAUUGUUUUAGAAUCUAGUGAGGCCCUGCAAACAAAACAAACAUUUUCUUUAGGCAAGAAUAUCUACGAAAGCAUAUGUACGGAACUUAGGUGAUUUAGGCAACUACUAUUUAUAUGUAGACAACUUAUCCUAUUGGAAAUAGCAAAUGUUGUGCAAAUUAAAUCAAUUUGCUGCUAAAAAUCCCAUUGGAUAACUCGUGCCAGCCUGUGUAGCAACUAAAUACUUCCUCUGUAGGGAAAUAUAAGAGUGUUUAGAUCACUAAAGUAGUGAUCUAAACGGUCUUAUAUUUCUUUAUGGAGGGAGUAUCAUACCUUGGGCAUGCUUUGGGCAAAAUAAAACCCAGUGCACUGGAGAGAGGAUCUUUGGGCAACUCAUGUCAACAUCUCUAGUAACUAACUAUCACGCGUUGGGCAAGUUCUUAGACACUUUCAACACAAAUCAUCGACGAUUCCAACCCCCGCAUCCCUAAGUCGCAAACCACUGCCGCACUGAAAAUCAUCGAUUCACCCAAAAACCCGGGAUCCCGCACACCCCUCUUCAACCUCCCUAUCCGGCCUCUAUCGCAUAGAAUCGUAGAUUUGAGUAGAAAAACACAUGCUUAGGGGGUCGAUUUCAAGAUAGCAAUUUUUUUAUAUUAUUAGGCAAGUUACUGUAGAAAUCAUUCAAUAGAAGAAGGCAUAUUUUCCCCCCUAGAACUCAAUGCACAAAAUGGUUAUAGAUUGUAGGGCAUUAUCCUUGUGCUGCAAAGGGACACAAAACCAUCUCCCAUAGCAUGUUAUGAAAAAAUAUUGCCUGUUAGUUUUGCCUAAGUGAACACAUAUUACAUAGCACAAGAAAUCUCAGGUAGAACAGAGAAACAACAAUGGUGGAAAAUAGACACCCUCUUCAAAAAAAAGGGACCACACACACCCUCUUCACCUAGCAGACAUUUUUCAAAUAAAAAAGACUAUGGUUGUCAUUUAGCCAACUUUGCUUUUAUCCUGCAGAAAAACAAAAAUGGUGUGGAGCUUUUCAUCCCAAAUAACAUGUCUCUUUGUCCCAGGCAACAAGUGGCCGUCGUUUAGGCAACUUGCAUCUUAUACCAGACAACUAGUGAUUCUUAUUAGGCAACUUUGCCUUUGACUGCCACAGUGGACUAGAGGCGAGGAGAUGGCAUUGAGGUUCUAAAUGAACACAUAUUAUCGAUCACAAAAAAUCUCAGAUAUAACACAGAAACAAACUAUGGUGAAAAUGGUUCAGUUCUUCGAAAAGAGAUGGCAUUUACCUCGUACAGACAAAUGAACAUGGUGUCGCUGUGCUAGCUUCCGCUUUUGGUUCCUUCGACAUCCCCCUCGUAGUGGUGAACAGGUCCCCUUGCCUCUCCCACUCGCCACAACUUGUUCGUCCAUCCCUCAUCGUCGCCCCCCGUGAAUUGGCCAACACUGAAAAAUUUAAAAGGGAUUUAAAACGGCAUCUUCCUGUCUCUCGCAAAUCACGCUUGCUAUAGAAAAAGCUUAUAGUAUGUUGAGGCAACUACCUAGUAAACCGGAAUAUUGGAUGAAGAACAUUACUAAUAACAAUAGUCUAUAAAAGCAGAGGAGUGGCUUUACUACAUGAUAACAGGAAGUUGUAAACAAACAUUAAAACACAAAUGGUAAAUCAGUUGAAGGGCUAGCACCAAAGUAAUCAAAGUACACAAAAAUCUUACAUAAUACUAGAAGUACUAGUGAAAAUUUGUUGCUUCUUCAUCGGCAAACUGCAUGUUGUGCAACCUCUGCCUACACGUUCCUUUCCUGCUGCAUCGGCUGGCCGGUAGCCAACAUCCAUUCAUGUCCUCCUCCCUCGUAAGAAGCCACCAAGUUAUUCAGAUAUCUACAACACUACUGGGCUACAAGCCUAAAGCCAACAUGACGGACGAAACUGAAGACCAAAUUGCUGCUGACCCUGUUGUACACACUCACCCAAAGGACCAGCAGGCAGGAUAUGAUUCAGCGAUGCAGCUCAGGCUUGACACGGGGUGAGCAAUCACCCUACGACGCAGGCCCCAGCAAUUCUCGAUCUAGAGCAACUGCAGCCCAGUUCAGUUGUACAAUCAAUCACAAGCCAGUAUUUUCCUGAAAAUUGCCUAAGUGGUGGUUAC